GCCGGCUUAGCUCAAUUGGUAGAGCAACUGACUUGUAAUCAGUAGGGUGAGGGUUCAAGUCCUUUAGCCGGCACCA
rnacentral:tRNA from 1 species